rnacentral:tRNA from 1 species
GGCCCCGUAGCUCAGAAGGAAAGAGCGCCUUGCCGCUAACGAGGAGUACGCUGGUUCGAGUCCAGCCGGGGCCA